UGAGUGCAUUCAUACUCUCACAGCUCAAUAAACUCAAGCCAAAUACUUUACAUAUGUAUGUACAAAUGCAGCACAUACUUUGUAAACAACAUACAGACGCUAUAAUUUUUCCAGCAAGCGAAAUGUCUGUACACCUAAAAGCAAUUUUUCCAGCAAGCCAAAAUUUUCCAGCAAGCCGUUGUGCGGCUGGCAGUGUUGGA
rnacentral:lncRNA from 1 species